ACCGAUGGUCAUCGGUCUCGCGAACGAAGGCUUCGAACAGUUGAAAGGGGAAAUUGGCGUUGAACCGAGGCCACAUGGUCGGUGGACCCAUGGCAUCAUGCUGGAAUUCGGAAGUCAUCGGUCCUUGAGGAGGAGGCAUAGGCUGACUACGAACCGGUGAAGGAUCCGCAUGCAUUGCCUCUGGAGAAGGUGAUCGAGCUGGUAUCGGCUCGGGAGUUGAAGAAGGUUCAGAGGUUGAACCGGGCUGGCCGUCCGAAGGCUGUUUUCUUUUUCGGGACAAAGAAGGGUCGGCUUCGACCGGCUCAACAUCAAGUGUUGGGGUUUCAUUUGAAGGAUUGGUUGUUGAAGGUGGAGGGACGCGGAGUUCGUCGGCGGUAAGGGGAAUUAUUUUGCUUCUUAAUUUUUUAGCACGAAGGACUUUCGCCCGAUCGUGUGGAGGAAUGUCAAGGAGACUCCUCUUUUUUAGGUUUGGUUCAGAAGUUGGUGGGGUUGGUUCAGAGGUUGUUGUUGUGGAUUCAGUUGGAGGAAUUGGUUGUGGGUUUACCUCAGGAAGGACCUCCUCGUCGCUUUCAGGGU
rnacentral:lncRNA from 1 species